rnacentral:lncRNA from 1 species
GACUCUCCUCAGAUUCGGGGGCGACCAUAUUUUCCGUCGAUAGAUCCACUGCAACUCCACCGCUCCUGCUACUCGAUCGGCGAUCCGGUUCCUUCCAUCCGGAGAAAGAAAUUUAGUUUUCAGUUAGAAAAAAAAAAACUAGAUCUGAAUCAAUCAUAAAUUAAUGGUGGUUGUUUGUCUUGUGCGAAGUUGUGAUUCUUUGGUUUGCUGACUCAUCCUCAUGGGAGGGUAAUUAUUUUGAUUGUGA